CAUAGGGUAUAUUAAAGUUGUUGCAGUUAAAAAGCUCGUAGUUGGAUCUCUGGACGGAGCAGCCGGUCCGCCGCUGUGCGGUGUGUACUCGUGCUUGACUCGGCUCAUCCUUGUGGGGAAGCGCAUUUCGGCAUUCAGUUGUCGAGGCGGGGAACCACAUCAUUUACUGUGAAAAAAUUAGAGUGUUUAAAGCAGGCAUUUUGCUGUGAAUACAUUAGCAUGGAAUAAUAACAUAGGACUUUGAUUCUAUUUUGUCGGUUGGAGAUCAAGGUAAUGAUUAAUAGGGAUAGUUGGGGGUAUUCAUAUUUAAUUGUCAGAGGUGAAAUUCUUGGAUUUAUGAAAGAUGAACUCAUGCGAAAGCAUUUACCAAGGAUGUUUUCAUUAAUCAAGAACGAAAGUUAGGGGAUCGAAGAGGAUUAGAUACCCUCGUAGUCUUAACCAUAAACUAUGCCGAUUAGGGAUCGGAGGAUGUAUAUUUAUGACUCCUUCGGCACCUUACGAGAUAUCAAAGUCUUUGGGUUCCGGGGGGAGUAUGGUCGCAAGGCUGAAA
rnacentral:rRNA from 1 species